GACGAACGCUGGCGGCGUGCUUAACACAUGCAAGUCGAACGGAAAGGCCCUGCUUUUGUGGGGUGCUCGAGUGGCGAACGGGUGAGUAACACGUGAGUAACCUGCCCUUGACUUUGGGAUAACUUCAGGAAACUGGGGCUAAUACCGGAUAGGAGCUCCUGCUGCAUGGUGGGGGUUGGAAAGUUUCGGCGGUUGGGGAUGGACUCGCGGCUUAUCAGCUUGUUGGUGGGGUAGUGGCUUACCAAGGCUUUGACGGGUAGCCGGCCUGAGAGGGUGACCGGCCACAUUGGGACUGCGAUACGGCCCAGACUACUACGGGAGGCAGCAGUGGGGAAUAUUGCACAAUGGGCGGACGCCUGAUGCAGCAACGCCGCGUGCGGGAUGACGGCCUUCGGGUUGUAGACCGCUUUCGCCUGUGACGAAGCGUGAGUGACGGUAAUGGGUAAAGAAGCACCGGCUAACUACGUG
rnacentral:rRNA from 1 species